rnacentral:lncRNA from 1 species
UAUGAAAUUAAUAAAAUAUUAUUGUAUCAAAAUAAUUUUUUAAUAGUAGCUGUUUAUAAUGGUUUUUUUUGUAGACUUCGAUUUUAUGAAUUACCUUUAUGCGGGGUAUAUUUAGAAAUCCCAUGUCAUAUACUGAUGUGCGUAAAUUUAAAGCUGGAUAUCCACAAUGAAUUGUUGUUUAGUUGUUCAAAAGAUGGAUCCAUUUAUAUUUUUUCAAUACAAAAAAUAAAUGAAUAUAUUUUUGAUUCAAAUAGUUUAACAACUUCUAAUGAUACUGUUUUAUGUAACGAGAAUGACAAUUUGAAACAGAACAAUACAUUCUGUGCUAUUCAUGGUACAACUAUGAACAAAACAAAACGGUUUAUAAAUGAGAGUGAUAGUGGUACAGCUAUGGACGGUGAAAUAGGUAACAGCAGUAGUGGAAUAGCUACAUUACAAAAUAACGAUACUUCAGAAAUCUAUGCACAAAAUUUAGAGUGUUUUUCUGCCAAAAAAACAAAAAAAGAAAAAAAGAAAAAAGAAAAAAACGAAAAAGAAAAAGACAACAAUAACAACACAAACAGUACAAACAUAUGCACAUGUAACGAUUUGGUUGGGGGAGACAAAAAAAUAAAAUAUACAACUUUUACAAAUAAUAAUGUUAAAACAGGUGAACAAAAAAAGUUCAGUAUAUCGGAAUUAAGUAAUGGUACAACAAAUGUCACAAAUGGUGGGGAUUUAUCUACGACAAGUGCCACAACUACUGGCUUUGCCAACAUGAACAAAAUAAAUAACAAAACAAAAUACAACUUUUUACUCUACGAUUUGAAUAACAAAACUAAUUAUUAUUUAAGUGAUGACGAGGAUGAGAAAAAAGAAAACAACACGAAUGAAGACGGUGGAGAUGAUAUACUUAUAGAUUUUUAUUAUGUUCAUAAAAAAAAUAAAGAACUAAUAGAAAUGGAGAAAAAAAUUACAAAUUUGAAAAAGCAGAUGGAAUUAAGAAUUAAAAAUAAAGAGUCAAUUUUUGAAGAUGCAAUACAGAAAUUAAAAAAAGAAAAAAAUGAUGAAAUACAAAAUUUAAUAAAAAUUAAUAAAAACGUAAUAAAAGAAAAAGAAAAAGUUGAAAAUAUAUGUAAAGAGUCUUUAUAUGAGUUAGAAGAAAAACAUACUUAUUUUGUAAAUCAAUUAAACUCACA